rnacentral:rRNA from 1 species
GAAUUUUGGACAAUGGGCGAAAGCCUGAUCCAGCAAUGCCGCGUGCAGGAAGAAGGCCUUCGGGUUGUAAACUGCUUUGGUACGGAACGAAAAGCUUUGGAGUAAUAACCUGGAGUCAUGACGGUACCGUCAGCAGACGCACCGGAUAGCUACGGGCGAGCAGCCGCGGGAAUAAUUGGGGGGCAAGCGUUAAUCGGAGUUACUGGGCGUAAAGCGUGCGCAGGCGGUUUUGUAAGACAGCGGUUAAAUCCCCGGGCUCAACCUGGGAACUGCCUUUGUGACUGCAAGGCUAGAGUACGUCAGAGGGGGGUGGAAUUCCGCGUGUAGCAGUGAAAUGCGUAGAUAUGCGGAGGAACACCGAUGGCGAAGGCAACCCCCUGGGCCUGUACUGACGCUCAUGCACGAAAGCGUGGGGAGCAAACA